AACGAGCGCUGGCGGCAGGCCUAACACAUGCAAGUCGAGCGGGGAGCAAUCCCUAGCGGCGGACGGGUUAGUAACGCGUGGGAACAUACCCUUUGGUACGGAAUAGCCUCGGGAAACUGAGAGUAAUACCGUAUGUGCCCUUCGGGGAAAGAUUAUCGCCAAAGGAUUGGCCCGCGUUGGAUUAGGUAGUUGGUGGGGUAAAUGGCCUACCAAGCCGACGAUCCAUAGCUGGUUUGAGAGGAUGAUCAGCAACACUGGGACUGAGACACGGCCCAGACUCCUACGGGAGGCAGCAGUGGGGAAUCUUAGACAAUGGGCGAAAGCCUGAUCUAGCCAUGCCGCGUGGACGAUGAAGGCCUUAGGGUUGUAAAAGUCCUUUCAGAUGGGAAGAUAAUGACGGUACCAUCAGAAGAAGCCCCGGCUAACUCCGUGCCAGCAGCCGCGGUAAU
rnacentral:rRNA from 1 species